rnacentral:tRNA from 2 species
GAAUGUGUAGCUCAGUCGGAUAGAGCAAUCCCCUCCUAAGGGAUAGGCCGGCGGUUCGAAUCCGCCCACAUUCGCCA